GAUGAACGCUGGCGGCGUGCCUAAUACAUGCAAGUCGAGCGAACAGACGAGUAGCUUUCUCCUCUGACGUUAUCGGCGGACGGGUGAGUAACACGUGGAUAACCUACCUAUAAGACUGGGAUAACUUCGGGAAACCGUAGCUAAUACCGGAUAAUAUAUUGAACCGCAUGGUUCAAUAGUGAAAGACGGUUUUGCUGUGACUUAUAGAUGGAUCCGCGCCGCAUUAGCUAGUUGGUAAGGUAACGGCUUACCAAGGCGACGAUGCGUAGCCGACCUGAGAGGGUGAUCGGCCAGACUGGAACUGAGACACGGUACAGACUCCUACGGGAGGCAGCAGUAGGGAAUCUUCCGCAAUGGGCGAAAGCCUGACGGAGCAACGCCGCGUGAGUGAUGAAGGUCUUCGGAUCGUAAAACUCUGUUAUUAGGGAAGAACAAAUGUGUAAGUAACUAUGCACGUCUUGACGGUACCUAAUCAGAAAGCAACGGCUAACUACGUG
rnacentral:rRNA from 1 species